rnacentral:rRNA from 1 species
UACGUAGGGCGCAAGCGUUGUCCGGAAUUAUUGGGCGUAAAGAGCUCGUAGGCGGCCUGUUACGUCUGCUGUGAAAUCCCGGGGCUUAACCCCGGGCGUGCAGUGGAUACGGGCAGGCUGGAGGCAGGCAGGGGAGACUGGAAUUCCUGGUGUAGCGGUGGAAUGCGCAGAUAUCAGGAGGAACACCGGUGGCGAAGGCGGGUCUCUGGGCAGUAACUGACGCUGAGGAGCGAAAGCGUGGGGAGCGAACAGG